UGGCUCAGGAUGAACGCUAGCGACAGGCCUAACACAUGCAAGUCGAGGGGCAUCGGGGCGAGGAGCAAUCCUUGCCGCCGGCGACCGGCGCACGGGUGAGUAACGCGUAUGCGACCUGCCCGUUGCAGGGGGAUAAUCGGGAGAAAUCCCGUCUAAUACCGCGUAACGCCGCGGGGCUGCAUGGCCCUGCGGCCAAAGGGAGCGAUUCCGGCAACGGAUGGGCAUGCGUGACAUUAGCUAGUUGGCGGGGCAACGGCCCACCAAGGCGACGAUGUCUAGGGGUUCUGAGAGGAAGGUCCCCCACACUGGUACUGAGACACGGACCAGACUCCUACGGGAGGCAGCAGUGAGGAAUAUUGGUCAAUGGGCGCGAGCCUGAACCAGCCAAGUCGCGUGAGGGAUGACGGCCCUACGGGUUGUAAACCUCUUUUGUCGGGGAGCAAAUUCCGCCACGUGUGGCGGAGUCGAGAGUACCCGAAGAAAAAGCAUCGGCUAACUCCGUGCCAGCAGCCGCGGUAAUACGGAGGAUGCGAGCGUUAUCCGGAUUUAUUGGGUUUAAAGGGUGCGUAGGCGGACUGUCAAGUCAGCGGUAAAAUACGGGGGCUCAACCUCCGCCCGCCGUUGAAACUGACGGUCUUGAGUGGGCGAGAAGUAUGCGGAAUGCGUGGUGUAGCGGUGAAAUGCAUAGAUAUCACGCAGAACUCCGAUUGCGAAGGCAGCAUACCGGCGCCCAACUGACGCUGAAGCACGAAAGCGUGGGUAUCGAACAGGAUUAGAUACCCUGGUAGUCCACGCAGUAAACGAUGAAUACUAGCUGUCCGGGGCGAAUGAGCCCUGGGUGGCACAGCGAAGCGUUUAAGUAUUCCACCUGGGGAGUACGCCGGCACGGGUGAANCUCAAAGGAAUUGACGGGGGCCCGCACAAGCGGAGGACNAUGUGGUUUAAUUCGAUGAUACGCGAGGAACCUUACCCGGGCUCAAACGACACAGGAACGUACCUGAAAGGGUUCGGCUCUACGGAGCCUGUGUCGAGGUGCUGCAUGGUUGUCGUCAGCUCGUGCCGUGAGGUGUCGGCUUAAGUGCCAUAACGAGCGCAACCNCCAUCGACAGUUGCUAACAGGUUAGGCUGAGGACUCUGUCGAGACUGCCGGCGCAAGCUGCGAGGAAGGCGGGGAUGACGUCAAAUCAGCACGGCCCUUACGUCCGGGGCGACACACGUGUUACAAUGGCAGGUACAGCGGGAAGCCACCUGGCGACAGGGAGCGGAACCCGAAAGCCUGUCUCAGUUCGGAUUGGAGUCUGCAACCCGACUCCAUGAAGCUGGAUUCGCUAGUAAUCGCGCAUCAGCCACGGCGCGGUGAAUACGUUCCCGGGCCUUGUACACACCGCCCGUCAAGCCAUGGAAGCCGGGGGUGCCUGAAGUGCGCUGCCGCGAGGAGCGCCCUAGGGUAAAACCGGUGACUGGGGCUAAGUCGUAACAAGGUAGC
rnacentral:rRNA from 1 species